rnacentral:rRNA from 1 species
GACGAACGCUGGCGGCGUGCUUAACACAGGCAAGUCGAACGGUAAGGCCCUUCGGGGUACACGAGUGGCGAACGGGUGAGUAACACGUGGGUGAUCUGCCCUGCACUUCGGGAUAAGCUUGGGAAACUGGGUCUAAUACCGGAUAGGACCAUGGUCUGCAUGGAUUGUGGUGGAAAGCUUUUGCGGUGUGGGAUGGGCCCGCGGCCUAUCAGCUUGUUGGUGGGGUGAUGGCCUACCAAGGCGACGACGGGGUAGCCGGCCUGAGAGGGUGUCCGGCCACACUGGGACUGAGAUACGGCCCAGACUCCUACGGGAGGCAGCAGUGGGGAAUAUUGCACAAUGGGCGCAAGCCUGAUGCAGCGACGCCGCGUGGGGGAUGACGGCCUUCGGGUUGGUAAACCUCUUUCUAGCAGGGACGAAGGGU